GACGAACGCUGGCGGCGUGCUUAACACAUGCAAGUCGAACGGAAAGGCCCUGCUUUUGUGGGGUGCUCGAGUGGCGAACGGGUGAGUAACACGUGAGUAACCUGCCCUUGACUUUGGGAUAACUUCAGGAAACUGGGGCUAAUACCGGAUAGGAGCUCCUGCUGCAUGGUGGGGGUUGGAAAGUUUCGGCGUUUGGGGAUGGACUCGCGGCUUAUCAGCUUGUUGGUGGGGUAGUGGCUUACCAAGGCUUUGACGGGUAGCCGGCCUGAGAGGGUGACCGGCCACAUUGGGACUGAGAUACGGCCCAGACUCAUACGGGAGGCAGCAGUGGGGAAUAUUGCACAAUGGGCGGAAGCCUGAUGCAGCAACGCCGCGUGCGGGAUGACGGCCUUCGGGUUGUAAACCGCUUUCGCCUGUGACGAAGCGUGAGUGACGGUAAUGGGUAAAGAAACACCGGCUAACUACGU
rnacentral:rRNA from 1 species